rnacentral:rRNA from 1 species
UGCAGUCGAACGGUGAUGGCCAGCUUGCUGGUCUGAUCAGUGGCGAACGGGUGAGUAACACGUGAGCAACCUGCCCUUCACUCUGGGAUAACCACGGGAAACGGUGGCUAAUACCGGAUAUGAGACGUACCUGCAUGGGUGGCGUCUGGAAAGAUUUAUCGGUGGGGGAUGGGCUCGCGGCCUAUCAGCUUGUUGGUGGGGUAAUGGCCUACCAAGGCGACGACGGGUAGCCGGCCUGAGAGGGCGACCGGCCACACUGGGACUGAGACACGGCCCAGACUCCUACGGGAGGCAGCAGUGGGGAAUAUUGCACAAUGGGCGCAAGCCUGAUGCAGCGACGCCGCGUGAGGGAUGACGGCCUUCGGGUUGUAAACCUCUUUCAGCAGGGAAGAAGCGAAAGUGACGGUACCUGCAGAAGAAGCGCCGGCUAACUACGUGCCAGCAGCCGCGGUAAUACGUAGGGCGCAAGCGUUGUCCGGAAUUAUUGGGCGUAAAGAGCUCGUAGGCGGUUUGUCGCGUCUGCUGUGAAAACCUGAGGCUCAACCUCGGGCUUGCAGUGGGUACGGGCAGACUAGAGUGCGGUAGGGGUGACUGGAAUUCCUGGUGUAGCGGUGGAAUGCGCAGAUAUCAGGAGGAACACCGAUGGCGAAGGCAGGUCACUGGGCCGCAACUGACGCUGAGGAGCGAAAGCAUGGGGAGCGAACAGGAUUAGAUACCCUGGUAGUCCAUGCCGUAAACGUUGGGCACUAGGUGUGGGGCUCAUUCCACGAGUUCCGUGCCGCAGCAAACGCAUUAAGUGCCCCGCCUGGGGAGUACGGCCGCAAGGCUAAAACUCAAAGAAAUUGACGGGGGCCCGCACAAGCGGCGGANCAUGCGGAUUAAUUCGAUGCAACGCGAANAACCUUACCAAGGCUUGACAUACACCGGAAACUUCCA